GCCGGGGUGCUGAAACUUGGUAAACAGAGAGGGCUUAAAACCCUCCGCCCGCAAGGGCUUGUGGGUUCGACUCCCACCCUCGGCA
rnacentral:tRNA from 1 species